rnacentral:lncRNA from 1 species
AAGAGGCACUGACUGUCUCUGAGUGAAAGGCUCUCUGGUGGGCUUCAUGAAGUAAUUGGCUAUGUUAGCAGCCAGGGGGCAAGGAACAUGUACCAGCUCUAGGAACCUCGGGCAACCUCUAGGACCUGAAGGUGGCCCCCAGGCAACAGCCGGCAAAAAACCAGGCCUUCAGUCAUCCAGCCACAAGGAAAUGACUUCUGCCACCAACUUAAAUAUUCUUGGAAGUGGAUUCUUCCCAGUGGAGCUGCAGAUGAAAGCACAACCCAGUCCACACCUUGACUAACGCCUGUAGGACCCGACCAGAGGACCCAGUGAGACCAUGCCCAGACUCCUGACCCUUGGAAAGGAAUGGAACAUGGAGGCUCGGCGGGUGUGCGUACAUGUACGUGUGUGUGUUACCUGUCCAGUUCAUUCACUUGUUCAGUCUACAGAUAUUUAUCGGAAGCGGAGCCGGCCUCCUUGCGGGCUGUGCAGCAUGUGCCGGCAGAUUCACGGAGAGUCACACCACAGCGUAUUGCCUCCCGAGGUGGCAGCACUAGUGCCUGAGCUGGGCUGCUCAGUGAGGCUCUCUGGACCGACGGCCACCUCCUGCCUCUAACCCUGGUGCUGCCCGGCUCUAGGAGGAGCUCAACUUACUUAGCUCCUUUUAUUUCUCUCGAGCUGGGAAGCCACAUGCACUUGACUUGCAUCCACUACACCAUUUCUUAAGCUCUGACGUUUCCCCUGCAAAUGGAAGAGGAGAUGAGCAGAAACCCACAUUUGUCAGACAUGGUUACCUGUUACCAGCUCAGCUGAAGACCAGGUGGGCGAAGAGAGGAAACUAAUGGGAUCCCCUGUCAAGGGCAUUUCCACCCUAGCCUGUCCCUCUUGUCGUGGAGACUUGGAUGCUUUCUUCAAGAUCUGGUGGCCCCAAACCCCCAAGAGACAGGAGAGCUUGUUUAUAUUAUCAUUUUAUUUCAAGUUGUGAGCUUUCCCUUUAUCACCAAAAAGUUCCUGGAAGAACACCAAUUUAGUUCGGUUUCACUGAGUAAUUGAACGUGUUUGCUAUCCACUGUGUAUUUUUAACCCCACAUUGUUUACUGGCCACCUUCCAUUGCAUGGUGUCAUUCUGUGUUGAAUACUGCAAAAGCAGAAGUCCCAGUGUCUGCCAAUAACGAAUGACUGGGGAGAAAA